CUUUUUAGUGUUCAAUCUAGAGGCAAACAAUGUGCUUUUAUGAGUUUAUCAGCACUUUUAACUGCCCAAAAUAUACCACUGAUCGAUUGGUCAAAAACAACAUUUAAUCGUCUUAUUAGGCCACUAUUUGUUGUAUAUUAGUUUCUCAUCCCCGCCCGCAUGCUUUUUAAGAAAAUUGUCUUGUUCGCCAUUAUUGCCAUUAUUGCCAUUUUUGACCAUUAUUACAAAUUUUGUGAUGUCUUCAAAAUUAUAUUUGAAAGAAAGACAUGCAAUUAGAAACGUUCCCAAAC